GAUGGUGUGGAUGCCGCUCAGAGACACUAGGACUUCCAGAACCUACAGGGAUGAAGGAGAGAAAGCCUGUCUAUCUGAACCCGUGAGAGUCAGCAGGAAGGGUGUCUAUCCAAGGGAAGUGAAUCUGUCUGUCAGGGAAGGAGGGGAAACACAAAGUAGAAAGAACAAAGAGCACCAUUUGCUGGGGCGAGAAAUUGUCUGAGGAGCCCCAGGAGGCAGCUGGGUAUGGUCUGUGUUUGGCAGUCUCCACCCUGACAUAAAGGGCAAAGAGGAAGUGUGAGCUGAAACCAUCCACACAACAGGGAGCAUCCAAGCAAACCUUUUUACAGAGUCAGCAAAAGGCACCCAUACUGCCAGGAUCCAAAGAGGAAGACAUAGUUCCCAUCCUGUGUGACAACGCCAUGGGUUCCAUGCUCUUCAGUUGCCUGAUCUUUUGUCUCCUGGUGUCAGGUCCAGUCGACCCUAAAAUCAUCCAGGAACCAAAAUAUCUGGUGGCAGUCGCUGGGAGUGAAAGAAUCCUGAUAUGCGAACAGCAUCUAGGACAUAAUGCUAUGUAUUGGUAUAGACAGAGUGCUAAGACGUCCCUAGAGCUCAUGUUUUCCUAUAACUAUCAAAAACUUAUUCACAAUCAGACUGUCCCAAGUCGCUUCCAACCUCACAAUUCCAAGAACAACUACUUAGACCUUCAGAUCACAGCCCUAAAGCCUGACGAUGCGGCUACAUACCUCUGUGCCAGUAGCCAAGACACAGCCCUGCAGAGCUCUUGCUUCGCUGUACACAAACCUCCUUAGUCUAUCCAGGAAACUGCUGAUGUAACUGGUCUAGCUGAGCCUGGAGACUCAGUUCAGUAAUCCACAGGACCCAAGUAAAACCUCAGACCACAGUGCCACCUGCUAAUU